GAUGAACGCUGGCGGCGUGCCUAAUACAUGCAAGUCGAGCGAACGGACGAGAAUCUUGCUUCUCUGAUGUUAGCGGCGGACGGGUGAGUAACACGUGGAUAACCUACCUAUAAGACUGGGAUAACUUCGGGAAACCGGAGCUAAUACCGGAUAAUAUUUUGAACCGCAUGGUUCAAAAGUGAAAGACGGUCUUGCUGUCACUUAUAGAUGGAUCCGCGCUGCAUUAGCUAGUUGGUACGGUAACGGCUUACCAAGGCAACGAUGCAUAGCCGACCUGAGAGGGUGAUCGGCCACACGGGAACUGAGACACGGUCCAGACUCCUACGGGAGGCAGCAGUAGGGAAUCUUCGGCAAUGGGCGAAAGCCUGACGGAGCAACGCCGCGUGAGUGAUGAAGGUCUUCGGAUCGUAAAACUCUGUUAUUAGGGAAGAACAUAUGUGUAAGUAACUGUGCACAUCUUGACGGUACCUAAUCAGAAAGCCACGGCUAACUACGUG
rnacentral:rRNA from 1 species